AAAUUGACCAUUUUAAGUAUACAUUUUAGCAUGUAGUACAUUUACAGUGUGUACCCUCUAUUUAGCUCCAGAACAUUCCUCUCACCCCCAGAAGGAAACUGUGGACCCAUUAGCAGUCACUCCCCAUUCCCUUCUUCCCCCGACCCAACAACCACUAGUCUGAUUUCUUCCCCCGACCCGACAACCACUAGUCUGGAUUUACUGAGACUGUCUUUUAUCCUUACAUCACCAAUUCUCAAGCAAAAAGGGAGUAGAAUGGGAAAUCUAGUGUGCACAAUGAGAGGGCAACCAAGAUGUCCUCAGUUAAUGACCCAACCUAGCGGCUAGUGUGAGAAAUGUCACUCAAUCUCUUCCCGUGUCAGGUCGCUCCAGCCCCACAGGGGAUCCGGGUUCAGCAAGCUUUUUGUAUUUCCUUUCACCAGUCAUUGGGAAAUGUCACUCAAUCUCUCUUCCCGUGUCAGGUUGCUCCAGUCCCACAGGGAUCCGGGUUCAGCAAGCCCUCCGUAUUUCCUUUCAUUAGUCAUUGGGAAAUGUCACUCAAUCUCUCUUCCCGUGUCAGGUCGCUCCAGCCCCACAGGGAUCCGGGUCAUUCAUCUCCUUUAGGCAAAAUCUUGGUCAAAUAUCAUACAACUUAUUUUUCCUCACCCGGAUCAGAGGACUAGACGAAUUAUGUCAGUAUGACUCUUUGAGCACGGACAGAUUUUUCACUCUCCCACCCUUUCCCUGAGGUCAUAUCCCUU
rnacentral:lncRNA from 13 species